AAUAAAGUUGUGAUUAGAACAAGUAGUCAAUAUGUCGCGUGAAGCGAGUUCGGGAUGAUGGGAACCGAACCGCGAUGAUUGAUGAAACCACGUCUAUGAACUGACCGGCUGAACUUGAGUAAGCCGGUACGCAUGUUUAGCGUUAUCAGGGUUGCCCCUAGCUGUUCUCGCCUUCGCGACGACUAGCAGGUGGCAACGUAAGGUUGUCUAUCGUAAGGUAGCAACAAAAUGAGGUGGAACCACGAUACUAUCGUCCUCGUA
rnacentral:ncRNA from 1 species